AUUGAACGCUGGCGGCAGGCCUAACACAUGCAAGUCGAGCGGCAGCGGGAAAGUAGCUUGCUACUUUUGCCGGCGAGCGGCGGACGGGUGAGUAAUGCCUGGGAAACUGCCCAGUCGAGGGGGAUAACAGUUGGAAACGACUGCUAAUACCGCAUACGCCCUACGGGGGAAAGCAGGGGACCUUCGGGCCUUGCGCGAUUGGAUAUGCCCAGGUGGGAUUAGCUAGUUGGUGAGGUAAUGGCUCACCAAGGCGACGAUCCCUAGCUGGUCUGAGAGGAUGAUCAGCCACACUGGAACUGAGACACGGUCCAGACUCCUACGGGAGGCAGCAGUGGGGAAUAUUGCACAAUGGGGGAAACCCUGAUGCAGCCAUGCCGCGUGUGUGAAGAAGGCCUUCGGGUUGUAAAGCACUUACAGCGAGGAGGAAAGGUUGAUGCCUAAUACGUAUCAACUGUGACGUUACUCGCAGAAGAAGCACCGGCUAACUCCGUGCCAGCAGCCGCAGUAACAC
rnacentral:rRNA from 1 species